rnacentral:rRNA from 1 species
GACGAACGCUGGCGGCGUGCCUAAUACAUGCAAGUCGAACGCACUCUCGUUUAGAUUGAAGGAGCUUGCUCCUGAUUGAUAAACAUUUGAGUGAGUGGCGGACGGGUGAGUAACACGUGGGUAACCUGCCCUAAAGUGGGGGAUAACAUUUGGAAACAGAUGCUAAUACCGCAUAAAACCUAACACCGCAUGGUGUAGGGUUGAAAGAUGGUUUCGGCUAUCACUUUAGGAUGGACCCGCGGUGCAUUAGUUAGUUGGUGAGGUAAAGGCUCACCAAGACCGUGAUGCAUAGCCGACCUGAGAGGGUAAUCGGCCACACUGGGACUGAGACACGGCCCAGACUCCUACGGGAGGCAGCAGUAGGGAAUCUUCCGAC